rnacentral:rRNA from 1 species
AAGUGGGGAUGACGUCAAGUCCUCAUGGCCUUAUGCCCAGGGCUACAUACGUGCUACAAUGGGCGGUACAAAGAGAAGCAACCUCGCGAGGGUGAGCAAAUCUCAAAAAGCCGUUCUCAGUUCGGAUUGAAGUCUGCAACUCGACUUCAUGAAGUUGGAAUCGCUAGUAAUCGCGGAUCAGCAUGCCGCGGUGAAUACGUUCCCGGGCCUU